rnacentral:snRNA from 1 species
GGAGAAGGAGGGCUAUCUGGCUGUGACAUCUGUUACCCCAUUGACGGCUGGGGUUGAUUCAGCUGAUCUGGCUGGCCAGGCAGUGCCCCCUUCCUCCCUCAUCACUCCUUGUGCCUCCCUCCCGAAGUGGCACACUCUAUGGAAGAGAACAACCUUCCCCGAAGGAGGAGGACCAUUCUCUGGUCAAGAGUAUGUGAGUACUUGACCUAUCCUGCUAGAACCUCCAAACAAGCUCUCAAGAUCCAUUUGUAGGAGAAGGUAGCGUUGUCAAUCUUCCAAGACUCCAGACACAUUCAAAUGAGGUGCUUUUU